GCCACCUCUGAGACAGCGAGACCAGCCCUCAUCUUCCUCAGGCUACUCUGUGUGAAAACAAAGAGGGUGAAGACCUUUAUGAUGAUCCACUUCCGCUUAAUGAAUGACAGUCCUUUGCCGAAGCUGGGGAAAAGGAGAGGUGAAUGAAUUCCUUCCGGACCUGGGUGGAAAGUGUUUGGAUUUUAAAUCAUGAAGUUAGCGUGUUCCCUUUUGGAUGGUACCUCUAAUCUACCGAUUUCUCCCCACUCUCUCCUCAUUUUACCUGGAGCGGUACUGUUCCUGGACCCAUCCAGCUUGUCCCGCUGUUUUAGGGUUAUCUGAGUAUCUGAGGUGUGUGGACUUCUGCAAGUGUCCAUGGAUGUGCCCCUCAUUUCCCAGCAACUCAAUUCCAACAUCUGCAUCCUGAACUGGGAGGCUUCAGGUCCAGGAGACACUUGUGGUUGAUGGAGGUAGGGGUGGGCCUGUGAAAGGACUGGGUCGUUGAGGAUUAUCAGGGCCUCAGGGAAGAGAAAGAGUGAUACCACCUUUACCCUUUCAGAAGGGAUCUUAGCCACCGCAAAUGCUUAAAGGGAAAUAUGAGGUUUUCAAGGCCCUAGAUCAGGCAUCCUCAAACUGGCCUGCCAGCCACAUGAAGCGGUGUGAAUUGUAUUUGUUCCUGUUUUGUUUUUUACUUCAAAAUAAGAUAUGUGCAGUGUGCAUAGAAAUUUGUUCAUAGCUUUUUUUCUUUUAACUAUAGUCCGGCCCUCCAAUGGUCUGAGGGACAGUGAAUCGGCCCCCUGUUUAAAAAGUUUGAGGACGCCUGAUCUAGAUACUCCUUUAGCUCUGAGCAACAUCCUGGGACCGGUUGGAUGUUUCUCUGCACCACAGCGGCAGCAGCCUGGCCUUUGCUGGCCCUGAAACAGAAGCACACACCUUCACUUCUGCAGCCAGUUUUUCUGGGAAGUUUUCCCCUUCUUUUAGGGUAUGGAGGCUCAGCUCAUACUGGCUCCACUUUCUCUCUUCGCAUUCCUAACAGCUUCACCUUUGCACACGAUGUUUGCAUGUUCUCUUCUCUGUUAAUAUACCCUAGAUUCUCACCGCCCUUGUUUUCAUUUAUAAAUGAAGAAACAGGCUCAGAGAGGGUAAGCAACUUGCCUGGCUAUACAGCUACAUUUUAGAACCAAAUCUCCUAGGUGCCCACUCCCACUCCUGGCUUAGCCCAGUUCCUGAAAAGAGCUGAGCUGGGAACUUUGCUAGGGUUUCUUGUGUGCUCUAGUGGAACAGAGGUGCAUCUGACAGUAGAACUCUGUCUUUCCUGGGGGAAGUAGUUACGGUUUGAGUAAGUUAUCAGCAAAGUCUAUGAAGAACUGGGAUGGGGGUAGAUACAAAGACAGAGGUGCUGAGAAGCCCCCAGCUUUGAGGUGGAGGGUUCUGAGAGAACCUCUGACUCCACUUUCACUGAGGAGUUAUCGUCAGUGGAGCCCUAUUGUUUGGAGCCCUAUGUGGGCUUCCUCUUCCCCACUCUUUCCUCUCAGAAGGAGAUCCUCUAAUUUCAUAGCUUGCCACAGCCUUGGGCUUGUGGUUUGGGAGAAAUAUGAAGCCGUGUGGAAAACCUUGACCAUGAGAGUUUCAUUUCUUGGUGACUUGUGUCUCUAGGCCUGGAGGCUAUCCACAGUCUAAGCAAUCAAAACCUUGGGCCUUGAGGGAAACUCAACAGAAUUUGGCUUAAAAAUUAGAAUGUUUGACAAUAGGGGAAUGAUUAAAUGAAUGGAAGACUAUGCUGUAGUUAAAAAGACAUAAGGAUCAGACAAAAAGUAAGAGACAUAUCAUUAAAUGAAAAAAAAAAUAGAAUAAAUUUAAAAAUACAACCCUGGUUAUGCAAAAAUUAAAAACAAGAAAUAGCCCCUCCCCCAGUGUACAUAAAAUGUAUAAAACAUGUAUGAAGACUGUACCCAAAAGGUC